rnacentral:lncRNA from 1 species
CAUGGCGAAUAUUUCCAGAUUUCGCAGUGUGGCGUUUUUGGUCACACUGGUUUUUCUUUUGUCGGCGAUGCAGAGGGAUGGCCGGUCAUGUGUUAGCGCUCGCCCAACAGUACGUCCACUGUCCCCAAGAGGUCCUCCAAGACCUAAUCCAGUACCGGGUGCAGCAGCUGCUGUACCUUCACCUCCGCAUUCACCAAGAGGUAACGGAAGACCAAAUCCAGUACCAGGCGCAGGAGCUGCCCCAGGACACCCUGCUGUAGUACCUCGUCCAGGACCUCGUGCAGCGCAUGUCCGUGACCCAGGACGAAGACAAGGACGUGUGUUCGAAGGAGGCCGGGGCAAUGACAGGGGAAGAGCCAAAUGAGGCUCCAAUUCCCAGCGAAGGCGAAUGCACGACAUAGAUGAUUGAAUAAAAAUCAGACGGUCCCUUA